UAUCCAGCAUAUUGCAGAAGAAGUUUUUAAGUUAGGACCACUGGAUUCGUUUUCUGCCUACGAAUUCGAAAAUAAUUUGAGGUUCGUGAAACAAUGCGUAAAAUCGGGGACCAAGACCGUUGAACAGGUUGCUGGCCGAUUGAUUGAGCGCGGUCACAUAAUCAAAGCCUAUAACGGUCGUGUGCAAUCAUAUCCACAACUAAAAGCAAACGGUAGAUUUUUUAUUAGCGAAGAUUUUUCCCUCCACACACAGUUUCAGAACAGGUGGUUUUUGACUAAAGAGAGGAAUAUUGUUAAGUUGAUAGAGGUAAAAAAAUCUAAUGAUAGUUCGUUUGUCAUAAUAGGUGAUCUUUUAGAGUCUUGUGAGGAACUAUUUCAUGCAGUGUCCGACAACGACAAUGUGUUAGCAGACAUACAGCUUUCGUCAAUCGAUAUUUACAUAUUUAAAGUUAAAUGUAACGUUCCCACAAGUAGGGUUGAAGUGCCAUAUAGGUCGGUUAAAUGUAAGCUUGUUCCUGUAUUCAUAACAUCUCGAUCUUUAUUGCAACUUCCUGUUAGAGUAUCUCCACAACCUGAUUCGAUAGCGUUAUUCCCUUUGCUACACACUUUCCAGAACUGAUACUGUUAAUUGAAUAUAUUAUCUGUUUGUUCACGUCAUCGUUUUGUUUUCAUCAUGAUAUUAGCGUUUCUUUUGUGAUAUAACUAUGUGCUAAAACUAAAUACCAAAUAGCAUAAGGUAAGCGCUAAGGAAAUUUUGUAAGCCUACGUCUCACUGAAUAUAUAAAUAAAAAGAAAACUGAAGCUUCAUUUUAUUACUUUUUUGCGGUUAUGCGGUUUGUGUAUUACACUUUUUGUUAUGCCCCUUGACACAUUUGCGCUUUUCGAGUUUUUAAGUUUUAGUUUAAUGAAACGCUCAGCAUCAUGCUUGGAGACAACACCUACUCUUUUUAGUACGGUUAGCAUUUUCCUAUAAGCAACAAAUGCUACCUUUUCUGCUCCGUCUCGUGCUCGUCCUGUCCAACUACAAUCGACUAAAAGUUUCCGGGCAAACAAAGUGUAGAACGCCUCAUGCAUCCUCUGCUUUUUGUCCGUUGCAUCUAUUUUACUUUCCAGCCAGGUCACCAAAGCAUCUUCAUUGGACUGGACGGACAAACAGGCCUCCAAACUGUCCAAUUGAUCCCUGCUGGACACGGUUUCAAAAAAUUCAGGUCGUUGAAUGCAAACUACUGGUUCGUGGUUUUCCUUGUUUUUGUCAGAAACCACCUCCACUAGCUCAUUCAAAGUUACGGCUACGCCAGCAACUACCUUGGAAAUCAGUGCCGUUUGCACAAGACGCGCCUCUGAUGCAUUUUUUAAGAGUCGCAACUCCUCCAAUAUCUUUGCAUUAUUGGCAGCAUCCAUUUCCUAAAACAAAAACAAAUAUUAUGGAACAAUCAUUCAUAAAGAUAGACCUUGAAAAUAGUAACUUACUGUUGUUCAUAUAGAUAUAUUGCCUGGCGAUUUAUAUUUAUUUCUGGACACCUAAUGUUACACCUUCGCACGUUGAAAUGAAAACAUACUUGAUUUUACAAGACUGUGCAUAGCACCAAGUUUUCUUAUGUCAUGUUAUGUGCAUAACCAAUUAAAAAAAAAACAAUAAAUUAUUUCUACUAUAAUUGUGCUACUAUAAAUUGCUACUAUAAAUCACUAUAAUUUGCAAGAAGCUGUGAAAAUAAAUUUCUAACGUGCACAACAUUUACUAACAUAGCUGUGCAUGUUAACUGAUUCCAUUAAAAUUUGAUUUUUCAGUUGAAAAUUCGUUGCAAAUUAAAUUCAGACUAUUGAAUCAACAACGAUGACGUUUAGGUUUCUAUCAACCCUGUCAUACGUUGAUCAACCUUGGUUAAUUGUUUCAUUGAGUUUGACAGCAGCGGACAGCACCGGAACUUCUGGCAGAAUAAAUUGGUGAAAGACAACUUUCAACAUGGUUCCGAGCUGGAAAACUGGCUGCAAACAACGGCAGCAGUACCGCAGUAUCGCAGUGAGCUUCCAGCCAUCCCAUCAACAUGCCAACGUUAUUCCUAGGAGCCUUAAUUUGCUUCCCGGCUUCUCUCAUUGCUCCCAGAACAGCACGGAACGGCUCCACGGCUCGGAACUGCCCCAUGGCACGGAAGUUAUAUCGAAAUUGAAUUCCCGCCGAAUCAUAGUUAAAUGUGUUAUUUUGGGCCAAUUAUAUUGUGUUGAAUGUGUAAAGUGAAUAAAUAAGUUGUUUUAAUCAAA